rnacentral:lncRNA from 1 species
GAGUUCCAUCAGGGCAGAAGGGGCAUGGUGAGGUCCAUCAUGGCAGAAGGAGCAGGAUGAGGUCCAUCAGGGCAAGAGAUGCAAGGUGAGUUCCAUAAGGGCAGAAGGGGCAUGGUGAGGUCCAUCAGGGCAGAAGGAGCAGGAUGAGGUCCAUCAGGGCAGAAGGGGCAUGGUGAGCUCCAUCAGGGCAGAAGGAGCAAGGUGAGUUCCAUCAGGGCAGAAGGGGCAAGGUGAGUUCCAUCAGGGCAGAAGGGGCAUGGUGAGUUCCAUCAGGGCAGAAGGAGCAGGGUGAGUUCCAUCAGGGCAGAAGGAGCAGGGUGAGGUCCAUCAGGGCAGAAGGGGCAGGGUGAGGUCCAUCAGGGCAGAAGGGGCAUGGUGAGGUCCAUCAGG